AAGGAGAGGUGAAGCCUGCUGAGAUUGGACAUGGGGACCUCAGGAGUGACCCAUAGGGAGUCUUCCAUUGGUGUCAUUCAAUCAUCUACUUGAAGCCAGCAUAUUACCAAGAUCUUCUAACCUCAACUCAAGAAAAUAGGAUUGUGGACCACUUAUUUUGGCUGCAAGUAUCAAACUCCACUAUCCAAAGUAUAAAUAAUAAGAACAUGUAAGAUCUUGCAUUGUUGAAAGAUCUAGGGGCUUCUUGGGGUUGGGGUUGGCUCAUCUCAAGAUUAUUUUCAAGGCUGAGAAUGACAUGUUGUACAGUCCCAGACAUCCCUUUGGGAUGGGACAAUGUCCAGAGGAAGAAGUGAGACCUUCUCAUCUUGUGUUUCCCACAUAAAGAAAAGAAUUCUUUCCCAGAAGCCACUUGUCAUUAGCCAGAAGGGGUCUCAUGCCCAAUUCCAAAGUGAUUGCUGGAGAGAAAGAUAUUAUGGUCGUGACUGGUUUGGAGCCACCAGUCCAGGAGUAAGGUUCUGGCUCUUUUUCUAGAUGGGGUUUUAUCACGCUGCUGAUCUGAUCUAUUACAGGUAAGCAACCCACACCCUUCAAAUUGCUCUCCAUU